rnacentral:lncRNA from 1 species
UUACGAAAGGCUUGAUAAGUAUUAUGUUGUACAGUUUAUAUAUGAUUUCAUGAUGAUGAUGAUGUUAUUGCUUUCGUAUAUUGUUUUUAUGAAUUUCACCGAGGUAAGUGAAUGGUAAAGGUUUUAUUAUUGAUAAAAGGAUUUGUUGUAAAUUAUGCUCCAUUGGUCUUUUUGUGUUUUCUACCCACCUUUACCUCCGUGACGGUGAGAUAUCGUGAUGUCUUUACUGGGCUAGUGUAGUUCAUUCCUUAUUUAAUCAUUUCAGAUCAGGAAGACAUUGUUCUCGAGCCGGUUCCGCAGGAGGACGACGAAGGGGACGCCUAAAGACUCCAUAGUCAUAU